AUUGAACGCUGGCGGCAUGCUUUACACAUGCAAGUCGAACGGUAACAGCACUUCGGUGGCUGACGAGUGGCGAACGGGUGAGUAAUACAUCGGAACGUGCCUAGUAGUGGGGGAUAACUACUCGAAAGAGUAGCUAAUACCGCAUGAGAUCUAAGGAUGAAAGCAGGGGACCUUCGGGCCUUGCGCUACUAGAUCGGCUGAUGGCAGAUUAGGUAGUUGGUGGGAUAAAAGCUUACCAAGCCGACGAUCUGUAGCUGGUCUGAGAGGACGACGAGCCACACUGGGACUGAGACACGGCCCAGACUCCUACGGGAGGCAGCAGUGGGGAAUUUUGGACAAUGGGCGCAAGCCUGAUCCAGCAAUGCCGCGUGCAGGAUGAAGGCCUUCGGGUUGUAAACUGCUUUUGUACGGAACGAAAAGCCCUCUUCUAAUACAGGAGGGUCAUGACGGUACCGUAAGAAUAAGCACCGGCUAACUACGUG
rnacentral:rRNA from 1 species